rnacentral:tRNA from 1 species
GCGGGGGUGGCGGAACUGGCAGACGCACUGGACUCAAAAUCCAGCGAGCGCAAGCUCAUGAGAGUUCGAUUCUCUCCCUCCGCACCA